GUGGGGAAUAUUGGACAAUGGGCGAAAGCCUGAUCCAGCAAUGCCGCGUGAGUGAUGAAGGCCCUAGGGUUGUAAAGCUCUUUUACCCGGGAUGAUAAUGACAGUACCGGGAGAAUAAGCUCCGGCUAACUUCGUGCCAGCAGCCGCGGUAAUACGAGGGGAGCUAGCGUUGUUCGGAAUUACUGGGCGUAAAGCGCGCGUAGGCGGUUUUUUAAGUCAGAGGUGAAAGCCCGGGGCUCAACCCCGGAAUUGCCUUUGAAACUGGACAACUAGAAUCUUGGAGAGGUCAGUGGAAUUCCGAGUGUAGAGGUGAAAUUCGUAGAUAUUCGGAAGAACACCAGUGGCGAAGGCGACUGACUGGACAAGUAUUGACGCUGAGGUGCGAAAGCGUGGGGAGCAAACAGGAUUAGAUACCUUGUAGUCC
rnacentral:rRNA from 1 species